rnacentral:rRNA from 1 species
CACUGUCACUCCUACGGGAGCAGCAGUAGGGAAUCUUCCGCAAUGGACGAAAGUCUGACGGAGCAACGCCGCGUGAGUGAUGAAGGUUUUCGGAUCGUAAAACUCUGUUGUUAGGGAAGAACAAGUACAAGAGUAACUGCUUGUACCUUGACGGUACCUAACCAGAAAGCCACGGCUAACUACGUGCCAGCAGCCGCGGUAAUACGUAGGUGGCAAGCGUUGUCCGGAAUUAUUGGGCGUAAAGCGCGCGCAGGCGGUCCUUUAAGUCUGAUGUGAAAGCCCACGGCUCAACCGUGGAGGGUCAUUGGAAACUGGGGGACGUUGAGUGCAGAAGAGAAGAGUGGAAUUCCACGUGUAGCGGUGAAAUGCGUAGAGAUGUGGAGGAACACCAGUGGCGAAGGCGACUCUUUGGUCUGUAACUGACGCUGAGGCGCGAAAGCGUGGGGAGCAAACAGGAUUAGAUACCCUGGUAG